GACGAACGCUGGCGGCGUGCUUAACACAUGCAAGUCGAACGGAAAGGCCCUGCUUUUGUGGGGUGCUCGAGUGGCGAACGGGUGAGUAACACGUGAGUAACCUGCCCCUGACUGUCGGAUAACAUCAGGAAACUGGGGCUAAUACCGGAGAGGAGCUCCUGCUGCAUGGGGGGGGUUGGAAAGAUUCGGCCGUUGGGGAUGGACUCGCGGCUUAUCGGCUGGUUGGGCGGGUAGUGGCGUACCAAGGCUUUGAAGGGUAGCCGGCCUGAGCGGGGGACCGGGCUCAUUGGGACUGAGGGAGGGCCCAGAAUGCUACGGGCCGCAACGGUCGGAAACAUUACGCAACAGGCCGGAGCCUGAUGCGAAGACCCCGGGUUCGGAAUGACGGCCUUCGGGUUGUAAACCACUUUCGCCUUUGCCAAAGCCGUAGUGACGGUAAUUGGUAAGAAAGCCCCGGCUAACUACGUG
rnacentral:rRNA from 1 species